rnacentral:rRNA from 1 species
GACGAACGCUGGCGGCGUGCUUAACACAUGCAAGUCGAACGGAAAGGCCCUGCUUUUGUGGGGUGCUCGAGUGGCGAACGGGUGAGUAACACGUGAGUAACCUGCCCUUGACUUUGGGAUAACUUCAGGAAACUGGGGCUAAUACCGGAUAGGAGCUCCUGCUGCAUGGUGGGGGUUGGAAAGUUUCGGCGGUUGGGGAUGGACUCGCGGCUUAUCAGCUUGUUGGUGGGGUAGUGGCUUACCAAGGCUUUGACGGGUAGCCGGCCUGAGAGGGUGACCGGCCACAUUGGGACUGAGAUACGGCCCAGACUCCUACGGGAGGCAGCAGUGGGGAAUAUUGCACAAUGGGCGGAAGCCUGAUGCAGCAACGCCGCGUGCGGGAUGACGGCCUGCGGGUUGGAAACCGCUUUCGCCUGUGACGAAGCGUGAGUGACGGUAAUGGGUAAAGAAGCACCGGCUAACUACGUG